rnacentral:rRNA from 1 species
GACGAACGCUGGCGGCGUGCUUAACACAUGCAAGUCGAACGGAAAGACCCUGCUUGCAGGGUGCUCGAGUGGCGAACGGGUGAGUAACACGUGGGUGAUCUGCCCCUUAUUUUGGGAUAAGCCUGGGAAACUGGGUCUAAUACUGGAUAGGACCAUGCUGUAGGUGGUGUGGUGGAAAGAUUAGUUUCGGUAAGGGAUGAGCUCGCGGCCUAUCAGCUUGUUGGUGGGGUAAUGGCCUACCAAGGCGUCGACGGGUAGCCGGCCUGAGAGGGUGGACGGCCACAUUGGGACUGAGAUACGGCCCAGACUCCUACGGGAGGCAGCAGUGGGGAAUAUUGCACAAUGGGCGCAAGCCUGAUGCAGCGACGCCGCGUGGGGGAUGACGGCCUUCGGGUUGUAAACUCCUUUCAGCCAUGACGAAGCCCUUGUGGUGACGGUAGUGGUAGAAGAAGCACCGGCUAACUACGUG